AUGAUACCAGUUCCCAUAUGAUCACCAAAGUUAAGCAACAUUGAGCCUGAUCAGUACCUAUAUGGGUGACUGCUUGGGAAUACCAGGUACUGUAAG
rnacentral:rRNA from 1 species